UAGGGAAUCUUCGGCAAUGGACGAAAGUCUGACCGAGCAACGCCGCGUGAGUGAAGAAGGUUUUCGGAUCGUAAAACUCUGUUGUUAGAGAAGAACAAGGACGUUAGUAACUGAACGUCCUCUGACGGUAUCUAACCAGAAAGCCACGGCUAACUACGUGCCAGCAGCCGCGGUAAUACGUAGGUGGCAAGCGUUGUCCGGAUUUAUUGGGCGUAAAGCGAGCGCAGGCGGUUUCUUAAGUCUGAUGUGAAAGCCCCCGGCUCAACCGGCGAGCGUCAUUAAAAACUGGACGACUUGAGUGCAGAAGAGGAGAGUGGAAUUCCAUGUGUAGCGGUGAAAUGCGUAGAUAUAUGGAGGAACACAAGUGAAGAAGGCGGCUCUUUGGACUGUAACUGACACUUAGGCUCGAAAGCGUGGGGAGCAAACAGG
rnacentral:rRNA from 1 species